GACGAACGCUGGCGGCGUGCUUAACACAUGCAAGUCGAACGGAAAGGCCCUGCUUUUGUGGGGUGCUCGAGUGGCGAACGGGUGAGUAACACGUGAGUAACCUGCCCUUGACUUUGGGAUAACUUCAGGAAACUGGGGCUAAUACCGGAUAGGAGCUCCUGCUGCAUGGUGGGGGUUGGAAAGUUUCGGCGGUUGGGGAUGGACUCGCGGCUUAUCAGCUUGUUGGUGGGGUAGUGGCUUACCAAGGCUUUGACGGGUAGCCGGCCUGGGAGGGUGACCGGCCACAUUGGGCCUGCGAUACGGCCCAGACGCCUACGGGAGGCAGAAGUGGGGAGUAUUGCACAAUGGGCGGAAGCCUGAUGCAGCAGCGCCGCGUGCGGGAUGACGGCCUUCGGGUUGUAAACCGCUUUCGCCUGUGACGAAGCGUGAGUGACGGUAAUGGGUAAAGAAGCACCGGCUAACUACGUG
rnacentral:rRNA from 1 species